rnacentral:snoRNA from 1 species
CUCCUUCAGGACGGCAUCUGGAGAGUUUCCAGUACUCUAUCAGUCUCGUCUAUGGCAGGGAGAGUCAAGCAGAGGCCUACCCGUUCCAUUCCUAGCUUGGCCAGUGGCUAGCGAGUGGAAGGCCAUCUGCUACAAGU